rnacentral:rRNA from 1 species
UACAGAGGUCUCAAGCGUUGUUCGGAUUCAUUGGGCGUAAAGGGUGUGUAGGUGGCGCCGUAAGUCGGGGUGUGAAAGUCCAGAGCUCAACCCUGGAAUGCCGGUGGAUACUGUCGGGCUCGAGUCCGGAAGAGGUGAGUGGAAUUCCUGGUGUAGCGGUGAAAUGCGCAGAUAUCAGGAGGAACACCAAUGGCGAAGGCAGCUCACUGGGACGGUACUGACGCUGAGACGCGAAAGCGUGGGGAGCGAACAGG